GAUAGCGUUGACAUUCUGACAACUUGAAAUUGAGGGCAGAAUGUGUAAGAGAUCAAGGACGUGUUGGCAAUGUAAUUGAUUUUCGUUUUUCAUUGUGUUUCAACUACCGGGCUGUGAGAUUAAGUGAUUAAAUUGUUAUCAUAUUUAAGCUAAUCGCAGCUCAUCCUAAAUUUCUCUUCAGAAUAACUGAAGAUAUCCGGUUACUCAAAGAAGUUAAAAAAAAAAACACUAUUAAAUUACUUUGCCAUGGAGUCCGUAUAAGCAUCUUCUUCGAAAUAGCUGGACCGCACUCUUUACUUAUUUACUUAUGUACAUAUGUAAAUAAAGCUUGACGAUUCUUUUGUCAUAUUUAUUUAGCAG